AAAAUAGUUUCGAUUUUUCUGAGAAUAAAGUGAUUUUAAUUUUUUAUUUUAUUUUUUGCAACAAACAGAUUUCGAUAUUUUUCUAAAGAAAACAAUUUUAAAAAUUUUUCCAAGAACAUAAUAUUAGUUGAGGUAAAAAAUGUUUCAAAUUUAUUCAAUUAAUUUUUAAAUUAAGUUUAAUUAAGGGAUUGAUUUUAAAUAUGUGGUUUAAUAUUUGAACCAUUUAUUUAAUUUGGUUUUUUUUUAUUAAAUUCAAUUUAUAUUAACCAUAUAAUUUGAUGAUAGUUAAAGAUUUCUGCAAUCCUAUCGUAUCAGAGUAUAUGGAAGUCACAUAUUACAAAUAAUAAUACUUAGCCACAUCUAUCCUAUGAUUUCAUGGUUGUGUGAUUUGAUUUUUGCUGUGACAACAGUAUAAGGUGCAGGAUGGAUAGAUAUCGGAAACAAUGAUAACAUUAGUGAGUAAGUAAACUCUAGAGCGGUAUGCAGCAAACAUUUGAGUGAGUAAGCAAAUAUUUGUGAAAAAAAGAAAGUGUCAAGAACGUCUCUCUUGUGUGCUUCUCCAAAGUAUUUUUGAAAGAUGGAAAAAAUAAAUAAAAAUCAACCGCUUGAAUCCUUUGUUGUUGAUGUUUUUGCUGAUGUUCUUUAUGUUGCUACUGUUGUUGAUGCUACUGAUGAUGAUGUUGCUGAUGCUGCUGCUGCUGAUGUUGCAUUGUUUGACCGUCUACCAUGGGAAUGCACCCAUGAGAUAUGGGCCAAACUUCUUUUCGAUAGUCUUUUCGGCAUCUUUCAAUGGAAGGGGAACUUCUGGAUAUUAGUUUUAGGAAGUUCCAUUUCAAACAGGGUCUCAUUAUUAUGAAUGAGGAAGGUGAGAUUGAAACAAGAACCUAUUACAUGCUUGAAAACUUUUUCAACGGGCUGAAUUCAAACUUUCUUCACUGCAAUUUCUUCCUGUCAAGUCCCACCCGUAAUUUUGUCUGUGGAUCGGACAAAAAAUUUAUGGAACUUCGAUUUGCCAUA